AACGAACGCCGGCGGCAGGCUUAACACAUGCAAGUCAAGCGGGCAUAGCAAUAUGUCAGCGGCAGACGGGUGAGUAACGCGUGGGAACGUACCUUUUGGUUCGGAACAACUGAGGGAAACUUCAGCUAAUACCGGAUAAGCCCUUACGGGGAAAGAUUUAUCGCCGAAAGAUCGGCCCGCGUCUGAUUAGCUAGUUGGUGAGGUAAUGGCUCACCAAGGCGACGAUCAGUAGCUGGUCUGAGAGGAUGAUCAGCCACAUUGGGACUGAGACACGGCCCAAACUCCUACGGGAGGCAGCAGUGGGGAAUAUUGGACAAUGGGCGCAAGCCUGAUCCAGCCAUGCCGCGUGAGUGAUGAAGGCCCUAGGGUUGUAAAGCUCUUUUGUGCGGGAAGAUAAUGACGGUACCGCAAGAAUAAGCCCCGGCUAACUUCGUGCCAGCCGCCGCCGUAA
rnacentral:rRNA from 1 species